rnacentral:rRNA from 1 species
AUACGUAGGGUGCGAGCGUUGUCCGGAUUUAUUGGGCGUAAAGGGCUCGUAGGUGGUUGAUCGCGUCGGAAGUGUAAUCUUGGGGCUUAACCCUGAGCGUGCUUUCGAUACGGGUUGACUUGAGGAAGGUAGGGGAGAAUGGAAUUCCUGGUGGAGCGGUGGAAUGCGCAGAUAUCAGGAGGAACACCAGUGGCGAAGGCGGUUCUCUGGGCCUUUCCGGAGGCUGAGGAGCGAAAGCGUGGGGAGCGAACAGGCUUAUAUACCCGGGUAGUCCACGCUGUAAACGGUGGGUACUAGGUGGGGGUUCCAUUCCACGGGUUCCGUGCCGUAGCUAACGCUUUAAGUACCCCGCCUGGGGAGUACGGCCGCAAGGCUAAAACUCAAAUGAAUUGACGGGG